GAAAGAAAGAAAGAAAAAGAAAGAAAGAAAAAAGGAAUGUUCAUUUCAGUGAUCCUAAUUGAAAACAAUCUAAGUUAUGCUCAUUUGGGCAUUGGAGAAAUAAACAAUAGAACAAUCAUUUAUUAAAUACCAUCUGACCAUGAAGAAGGUUGGGGAGAUUCCUAUUGCUGGAUUGCCAACAAUCUACGAAAUGAAAAAGGGGUGUUCAUCGACUUCCCGCAUCCAAAACAUCAUGACAUGUGGCCAGCCACAUCCCCUCAGCAACCCCUCGAGUGACCACGUGUCACGACGGCCAUCAUGCGUUUACCUCCACGUGGAAGCAUCCCUCUCUCUUCCUCCUCUUUCUUGAUUGCUCCUCUAGCAAAAAAGUCUUCACACAACAACCAAACUGAGCCUGUAGAAACACAAACCAGAGGAGGAUACAUCCAAACCAUUUCCUGUGGUCUGCGAAGCUCUAUCUAUGCUGGCCUCUGCCUGUCACUUACAGUCAUCUCGCCCUACACUCCACCCCGCACAAGCAAAGCAGAUAAGCUCCUAGCUCUCUUGGGCUCCCAGUCAAACUG
rnacentral:lncRNA from 1 species